AACGAACGCUGGCGGCAUGCCUAACACAUGCAAGUCGAACGAGACCUUCGGGUCUAGUGGCGCACGGGUGCGUAACGCGUGGGAACCUGCCUUUAGGUUCGGAAUAACUCCCCGAAAGGGGUGCUAAUACCGGAUAAUGUCUUCGGACCAAAGAUUUAUCGCCUUUGGAUGGGCCCGCGUUGGAUUAGCUAGUUGGUAGGGUAAAAGCCUACCAAGGCGACGAUCCAUAGCUGGUCUGAGAGGAUGAUCAGCCACACUGGGACUGAGACACGGCCCAGACUCCUACGGGAGGCAGCAGUGGGGAAUAUUGGACAAUGGGCGAAAGCCUGAUCCAGCAAUGCCGCGUGAGUGAUGAAGGCCUUAGGGUUGUAAAGCUCUUUUACCCGGGAUGAUAAUGACAGUACCGGGAGAAAAAGCUCCGGCUAACUCCGUG
rnacentral:rRNA from 1 species